CUACAUGUACAGUCAGUUUUAGUUGGUCUGCUGAGCCCUACUCAGAGCUGGGGUAGUUCGUUUCACGUCUACGGCCCUCUUAGUGUGGCAAAACAGGGCGGAUAGCUGUGAAUUUGCUCUUAAAAGAUGAAUCCUGAAGACGCAGAAGAAAAUAACGAAAAGAAAACUCAUGCAAUCGCCAAGAUCCUGUGAGAUCCUGUGGCAGCUGAAACCGGAUAUCCCACACAAUGGCAAUGACUCACCAAUGACUCGCCAAUGACCCGCCAGAACGCGCUGACCUGCCAGAGCACCGCAGUUUGGCCGUCUAAAUUCGUCAGAAAUGGUGGGUGUCGGUAGGUCACGUGAAAAAGGAAGGCCGUUUCCAAGGAAAUGUAAAAGACGUGACGUGUCUUCUUCUAGAGGUUACCAACUGGACACUCCAUCUUAACUCCUCCUCCACGACCACUGGAUUGGUCGAGCAGUACAGAAGAGACCCAGAAAUGUUGCUACCUUUUUGUCAGGACCAAUAUAUGAGGGAUCUCGUUUCAGCUUUCUGUGAAUGCCUGCUACAUUAGGUCAGGAAUUGCAUUGGCUGCACCCCUGGUUAGACGCGAACCCUGCAGAGAGCUGCACAUUCAUUAAUGGGCAACUCAUUGGACCUUGGCUUGCUAGCAUUAGCCUGCUGCCAUUGUGACGUGUGUGGCGGUUUAUAUUUGAUACCCUGUAUCCUUUCUCCUUGUAGAUGUAAGUAGAGGGAGGCCUAUGGGGUGAGCGCACGUGCUGCAAACUCCCUUUUCCCGUCCCUCAGCUGUUCACACACACACACACCGAUAAACACACAUCAGACCUAUAUGUGCAAACACACACAAGCAGUGCAGUGCCAGCUGCCAUCUGAAUUAAUUCUAUUUAAAAAAGCAAUUUCAAGCCUGCGAGGCUGACCCCUGCUAGCCUGACCCCUGUGAGGCUGACCCCUGCAAGGCUGACUCCUGCUAGCCUUACCCCUGUUAGCCUGACCCCUGCUAGCCUGACCCCUGCUAGCCUAACCCCUGCAAGGCUGACCCCUGCGAGGCUGACCCCAGCUAACCUGACCCCUGCGAGGCUGACUCCUGCUAGCAUGACCCCUGCUAGCCUGACCCCUGCGAGGCUGACCUCUGCGAGGCUGACCCCAACUAGACUGACCCCUGCUAGACUGAUUUACUCCAGCUAGCCAGACCCCUUCUAGACUGAUUGACUCCUGCUUGCUUGACCCCUGCUAGGCUAAUCAAUCCCUGCUAGCCUGACCCCUGCUAGGCUAAUCAACCCCUGCUAGCCUGACCCCUGCUAGGCUAAUCAACCCCUGCUAGCCUGACCCCUGUUAGGCUAAUCAACCCCUGCUAGCCUGACCACUACUAGGCUGAUGGACCCCUGCUAGCCUGACUCCUUCUAGUAUCUAGCAUCAUCGUUAGCGAGCAUGAUACCUUUUUUGGCACAUCAAAUAGUUUCAACGUUUAUCUGUCGAAUGUACCAAGCAACACAACAUCAUCCGGCACAAGGAAAUCCUUGUGACAUGGAACCCGACAACUAUGUAGUGGGAAUUAAGAAUAAUAAUUAUAUAAGCAAAAAUAUAG